rnacentral:tmRNA from 1 species
GGGAGCGACUUGGCUUCGACAGGAGUAAGUCUGCUUAGAUGGCAUGUCGCUUUGGGCAAAGCGUAAAAAGCCCAAAUAAAAUUAAACGCAAACAACGUUAAAUUCGCUCCUGCUUACGCUAAAGCUGCGUAAGUUCAGUUGAGCCUGAAAUUUAAGUCAUACUAUCUAGCUUAAUUUUCGGUCAUUUUUGAUAGUGUAGCCUUGCGUUUGACAAGCGUUGAGGUGAAAUAAAGUCUUAGCCUUGCUUUUGAGUUUUGGAAGAUGAGCGAAGUAGGGUGAAGUAAGUCAUCUUUGCUAAGCAUGUAGAGGUCUUUGUGGGAUUAUUUUUGGACAGGGGUUCGAUUCCCCUCGCUUCCACCA